rnacentral:misc_RNA from 1 species
CCUCCCCUGAAGCGUCUCACCCCGUCCCACACCGGGCCAGGGCGCGGACAG